rnacentral:tRNA from 1 species
GUGGCUAUAGCUCAGUUGGCUAGAGCGCGAGGUUGUGAUCCUUGAGGUCGCGGGUUCGAGUCCCGUUAGCCACC